rnacentral:piRNA from 1 species
UUUAAAACUGGCCUGCAAUCU